rnacentral:lncRNA from 1 species
AAGCAGUGAAAGCAGACUUUCCUUUCCUGUAGUCAACUUUUGCUGCCUAACUUUUAAAACUACAGCUGGUUUGGUGGUAGGGGAAGAAUCUCAUGCGGUGCAUUAGUGCUGAAAUGUAUAAUAAACUUUUUCAAGGAGGAUUCUAGAACAUACCUGUGGAGCUGCAGCUUCUCUUUCUCCAAGCUCUGCCAAAGGAGGUGAUACAAUCAAGCCCCCAUGAAAACCAUGCCAAGAGCAGAGUGGAA